AGUGAACGCUGGCGGUAGGCCUAACACAUGCAAGUCGAACGGCAGCACAGUAAGAGCUUGCUCUUACGGGUGGCGAGUGGCGGACGGGUGAGGAAUACAUCGGAAUCUACUUUUUCGUGGGGGAUAACGUAGGGAAACUUACGCUAAUACCGCAUACGACCUACGGGUGAAAGCAGGGGAUCUUCGGACCUUGCGCGAUUGAAUGAGCCGAUGUCGGAUUAGCUAGUUGGCGGGGUAAAGGCCCACCAAGGCGACGAUCCGUAGCUGGUCUGAGAGGAUGAUCAGCCACACUGGAACUGAGACACGGUCCAGACUCCUACGGGAGGCAGCAGUGGGGAAUAUUGGACAAUGGGCGAAAGCCUGAUCCAGCCAUGCCGCGUGGGUGAAGAAGGCCUUCGGGUUGUAAAGCCCUUUUGUUGGGAAAGAAAAGCAGUAGGUUAAUACCCCGCUGUUCUGACGGUACCCAAAGAAUAAGCACCGGCUAACUUCGUG
rnacentral:rRNA from 1 species